rnacentral:rRNA from 1 species
UACGGGAGGCAGCAGUAAGGAAUAUUGGUCAAUGGACGCAAGUCUGAACCAGCCAUGCCGCGUGAAGGAUUAAGGUCCUCUGGAUUGUAAACUUCUUUUAUAUGGGACGAAAAAAGGUCUUUCUAGACCCCUUGACGGUACCAUAUGAAUAAGCACCGGCUAACUCCGUGCCAGCAGCCGCGGUAAUACGGAGGGUGCAAGCGUUAUCCGGAUUCACUGGGUUUAAAGGGUGCGUAGGCGGGUAGGUAAGUCAGUGGUGAAAUCCUGGAGCUCAACUCCAGAACUGCCAUUGAUACUAUCUAUCUUGAAUAUUGUGGAGGUAAGCGGAAUAUGUCAUGUAGCGGUGAAAUGCUUAGAUAUGACAUAGAACACCCAUUGCGAAGGCAGCUUACUACGCAUAUAUUGACGCUGAGGCACGAAAGCGUGGGGAUCAAACAGGAUUAGAUACCCUGGUAGUCCACGCCCUAAACUAUGGAUACUCGACAUAUGCGAUACACUGUAUGUGUC